UUACUUCGUGAGACAUUUCAGGCUCCAGUGACCUGCAAGAUGCUGCAGGCAGGCAGCGUCUGUAGUCCGACACCAGUGGAUCUGACCCGGGAUUCCCAUUAACCAAAUUUGGUGUCAUCAUGACCCAGCCACCUGAUCUAGUCACCUGGAGCCUCUUUGUCCGUGCCGAAGGUCUUUUUUGGCCAGUGGCAGCACAGCUGAGCGGUAUGAUUCUUCAGGGCCUGCAUAAUUCAUGCUUUCGACCUAUGCUAACGAGAACGUUGCCCAAAAGCCUGCAUUAUUAAGCAUCCGGGUGCGAUCUGGGCGGAUGCUGUCUAGAAAACCAGGACACGGUAUGAGUUUUCUGGCUGGUUUUCCUCCUUAAGGGAGGUAAGCCUUUCCUAACGAUUCUCAGUUGCCCCCCAGAUGAAAGAUGGUGAGGCCCAGGGGCAUUAACGUCUCACAGAGGAGAAAGAAGGACCCCGGCUACUUAGAGAAGGAACGAGGCCCACCUGGCCUGAGAGUAAGCACUUUUUAAAGCAUCAAGAAGUUCGUGUGUGGUGGCUACACCGUUCCCUUAGUUUGUCAGGCCCAGGCAGGGUAUUUUGUUUGUUUGUUUGUUUUAAUAGAAGCAUGAGUCAGGAGUUCCCUGGUGGCUCAGGGGGUGGUUAAGGAUCCAGUGUUGUCACUGCUGUGGCUCUGGUGACUGCCAUGGCGAGGGCCCUAUCCCUGGCCCUGAAACUUCCACAUGCCACAGGUGUGGCCAACAAAAAGAAAGACGAAUCACUUGGAGCAACCUAAGAAGAUUAAAUUCUGGAUAUAGGACAUAUUCAGCAAUGCCCUAGGAAUCCACAAGGAGCUGGAUUCAGCAUUUGGACAACACAUACCCUUUGCAUUUAGAGAGAGUGAGGUUAGCUGUGUAUUUAAGCAAAUAGAUAAUGACAACACUGAAAUCCUUAAUUCUUUUAUUCAUUUUUGGAAACCAAAAUGAAUGCACAUGUCUAGAUGCCAGGUAAAUGUGCCAGUUUUUAAAUCUGGCACCGUUUUAAAUGGUCUGGUUGUCUAUUUUUUGUUUUCCAUUUGGAUAAAGUUCUUAAUUGCUUUGGUCCCAUAACUGUAGGGCAAUUUAAAGACUAUUCAUGAAUAUUAUAUAUAUUUAUGCAAAAUUCUAGGACUAAAAUUUUCCAGAUAAAUGCUAUUAGGCUUUCCUGAUUUGUAUACAAGAAUUUCUAACAGUGUUGGAUGCUAUUAAAAGAGUGUCAUAUGCAUGCUGAAGCAUUUACAGGUGAAAUGGCGUUCUGUCUAGGAUUUUUUUUUAAUCCAGUGUAAAGUGUGGAGGAGGAAAGAUGAAUAAAUGGAACAAAAAUAUUUGUGGACGAUGGAUACACAAGUUAGAGUAUUCUCUCUCCUUUUGUGUCUGGAAAUUUAUAGAUAAAGUUUAAAAACAAAUCAUAAGAUCCUCUUCUAAACUGAAUUUGGAAACGCACAGGUUUUACUUUCUGAACUAAAAUUAAAAUGUACAAGGAGUUCCCACUGGGGCGCAGCAGGUUAAGGAUCUGGUAGUGUCUUUACAGCUGCGUGGGUUCGAUCACCAGCCCAGCAUAGUGGGUUAAGGAUCUGGUGUUGCCACAGCUGUGGGGUAGGUCAUGGCUGCAGCUCAGAUUUGAUCCCUGGCCUCGAAACUUCAUGUACCAGGAGUGUGGCCAAAAAAAAAAAAAAAAAAAA
ensembl:lncRNA